rnacentral:rRNA from 1 species
GAUGAACGCUGGCGGCGUGCCUAAUACAUGCAAGUCGAGCGAACAGACGAGGAGCUUGCUCCUCUGACGUUAGCGGCGGACGGGUGAGUAACACGUGGAUAACCUACCUAUAAGACUGGGAUAACUUCGGGAAACCGGAGCUAAUACCGGAUAAUAUAUUGAACCGCAUGGUUCAAUAGUGAAAGACGGUUUUGCUGUCACUUAUAGAUGGAUCCGCGCCGCAUUAGCUAGUUGGUAAGGUAACGGCUUACCAAGGCGACGAUGCGUAGCCGACCUGAGAGGGUGAUCGGCCACGCUGGAACUGAGACACGGUCCAGACUCCUACGGGAGGCAGCAGUAGGGAAUCUUCCGCAAUGGGCGAAAGCUUGACGGAGCAACGCCGCGUGAGUGAUGAAGGUCUUCGGAUCGUAAAACUCUGUUAUUAGGGAAGAACAAAUGUGUAAGUAACUAUGCACGUCUUGACGGUACCUAAUCAGAAAGCCACGGCUAACUACGUG